UAUCACAAAGGUAGAUAAGAAAAGCAAUUGAACUCAGUUAAUGUCAGUUUGAAGGGAAAGGGGGAUUCAUGAAAAGAAAAACAAACAAUAAAUUACUUUAUGCCCGUUUUAAGACAUUGUACAGUUUAAAACACUGGUAUAUGCAUGAACAUUUUAACUAUAAAUAUGUAUUCAGCUUAAGAGAUUAUGAGUUGAAAAAAUAUUGAAACUGGGCUAGCUUUGAAGGUAUGAACAUGUUUUUAUGUUUUUGAAUAUUUGGCAUUUGAAGUUUGAUCAGAGAAUAAACUUUUAAUGACUGAGAUAAUCCACGUUCAGCCAUUACCCAUUGUGUGUAAACAAACUGGUGCUGGCACUCAUCACCCUAUCCCGUAUCAUAACGCUGCUAAAAAUAAACAAAUCGUGACAAAUUGCAUGACAGAGUGUGAUGUGAGUGAGUCACAUCGUUUCCAUGAGCCGCAACCUCUCGGUGACCUACAUCUACAUCCCAGUUGCCACCACAAGCUCUACACAUUCCGGGCCCCAAAGUUAGCACUUCCAAAGGCGGCCGUGUGCAUAUAUAGUACGUAUUGUUUUCGGAUCGGAUCUAUGUCAGGGAGUGCAAUUGGAACACACCAGGCCGUCGGUGAGCGUCUGAUUAGCGAAUUAUGGCAAGCCAUCAAGCGUUUAUAUGGGGCUCAGCAGGCGGCGAUAAGAUUACCGGGGGAGUGUAAAUAACUUCGGUUUUGAGUUUUCUGAUACGGUGGCGGUGGUGCGGCGUCCAUUUCAAUUAUGAUGUCACUGCCGCCAAGUCAAUGAACGUCUUCCAACACCCUAAACAGACAUCAUACAUCAACAAAUACAGCGGCUAGUCAUCCCCGACCGAUGGCUCGAUAUGGCACAAACGGCGUCGUGAUUUUUACAAAAUAAAGCGAAAAGCAAAAAACGAGGGAACAAGUCAAGAAAACAGAAAACCGAAAACAAUGAAACUCAAAAAGUAACUUUUUGUGUCCAGAUAGACGAUAGCCGGUCAUAACUGUACGGCUCCACACUUGAAGACACCAAAUGGCAGAACCAAUCGGGUGUCAAGAAAUUGGAACACAAAACAGCCGUUCAUCCCAGCCUAUUCGGACCACAUCCCACUCCAGAUUCUCCCACUCGGCGAUAAGGCAACAAAACGACAAGUAUCGGAUUCGUAUCAUAAAAACGUAACGACGACAAAAUCGAAACGCAUGGCAAACAAACAAUAGAAACUGGCGUGAGAUAGAGCCAGAAUGAAAGAAAGGCCAGCGACAGCAACAGCAACAACAAUAGUAAUAAUAAUAAAUUGAAAUUAAAAAUUGA